CGCAAUUAUUCGCCAAACAUCCUCAGGCCCGCGAACUACUUCACACGCAAAACAUCCUCAUGCCAGAAACCAGCUGUCAAAACCUUAAAUCGCGACCUCUCCUCACAUGAACUCCCUCCGCCGGAAACUCUCCUCACGCGAACCCUAAACUUCUCUCCGCCAACAGCGAAGCCCUCUCCGUUGAAGCCUUCCUCUUCACGCGAACUCUCUCCACCGAAGCCCUCUCCGCCGAAGCCUCCUCAUGCGAACUCCCUCCGCCGAAGCCUCCUCACUCAAACUCCGUCCGCCGAAACCUCUCUGCCGCAACCCUAAACUCCUCUCUGCCGAAAUCUCCGCCUAUCCUAUCUCAAACGAAGCACUCUCCGACGAAGCCCUCUCCUCCAAAGCUUUCUACUAAAUUAAACAUCUUCGUCAAUCCUUGCCUUUCUCAGGAAAAAGCAAAGAAGUUAUAGUUGUUGGUGGUGGGUAUAUUGGCAAGGAAGUAGCAUCAGCAGCAGUUGAGUGGAAUCUUGAUAUUUCACCUUAAGUAAGAAUAACAUGAUUAAGUAAUAUGCCCUAUUUCACCUUCAAUAUUGCAAUUUGUACUCUCCCCAUUUUGUUUUCUUUUGACUUUCAUUUUCUUUUAUGUAUAUUAAAUAAAUAUAUAAAUCUUAUUUUGUAUUAAACAUAAAAUAUUUGUAUGUUAAGGUUUGGGUCAUUUACGAAAUGGAUAAGGAAUGGAUACAUUUACCUUCAAGGCUUGUACCCGAGUAUGAAGGAGGGGUACAAAAUUUCUUGCACAAGCUAAGAACUAUGCCAAAACACAUGAAGUAAUCUUAUGCCCUUGCAAGCAUUGUAAAAACAAAAAGUAUAUGAAAUUUGACCAAGUGUACGAUCACUUAAUUAUUAAGGGGUUUAAUCAUUCUUAAACUAUUUGGGUCUUCCAUGGAGAAACUUAUAACCCACAAUAUCAAGGUGAAGGUAGUUCAGGAGAAUUUCAGAAAGAUGAUGAAAGUAGAGAGGCAUAUCACUUAUAUAAGAAUGUCUUUGUGCCAGAAGAAGACGUUGGAUACACUAUGUCUGAGGCAAAAGAUAACGACUUUGCUAAUUUAUUAGAAGAUGCAGAAACUCCUCUCUUCCCUGGUUGCACAGCUUACACAAAGCUAUCAGCAGUUGUCGCAUUAUACAAUUACAAGUCUACUAAUGGUCACAUAGAUAAUAGUUUCAAUGAGCUCCUAAGAUCUUAGGUGACAUGUUUCCAUAAAAAACACACUUCCAGAAACUGUUUACUCGAUGAGAAAGUUGUUAAAACUAUUUGAUUUAGGAUAUGAGAAGAUUCAUGCUUGCCGAAAUGAUUGUUGUCUAUUUCAAAAGGAGCUUAAAAAUCUGGAUAUGUGUCCAAAGUGUGGUUCAUCAAGAUGGAAGGUGGACAAAGUCACCACCAAAGUUUUUAAAGGGGUUCCUGAAAAUGUGCUAUGGUAUUUUCCGGUGAUACCAAGAUUUAAAAGGAUGCUUAAAUAAAAAAAAAGCUGAAGAGUUGAUUUGGCACUCCAACCACAAAAGUCAAGAUCACAUGAUGUGUCAUCCAAUUGAUUUAGUAGCUUGGGAUAUAAUAAAUCAUAAACGGCCAGAUUUUGCGUCAAAUCCUAGAAAUUUGUGCCUUGGCCUUGCAACCGAUGGAUUCAACCCUUUUGGCGACCUUAGUUCUAGAUAUAGUUGUUGGCCCGUUAUUUUGGUAAAUUAUAACCUUCCUCCAUUGAUAUGCAUGAUGAAAGAAAAUCUUAUGUUGACAUUACUAAUUCCAUGUCUGAAGCAACCAGGAAAUGAUAUAGAUGUAUACUUGGAACCCCUUAUCGAGGAUUUAAAGGAGUUGUGGGACACAUGAUGUAGAGGCGUAUGAUGUAUUCAGCAAGUCAAUAUUCAAUCUAAAUGCUAUUUUGAUGUGGACAAUCAAUGAUUUUCCAGCUUAUGGAAACCUAGCUGGAUGUGCCACAAAAGGGAAACUUGGUUGCCCAAUAUGUGGGGAAGACGUAUGUUCUAUGUGGCUUAAGUAUAGCAGAAAGUUUUCAUAUAUGGGCCACAGAAGAUUUCUUUCUCCUAAUCACCCAUUUUGUUAGAAAAAGAAGUGGUUUAAUGGGAAAAAAAGAAAGAAAAGGGAAACCUAGACCUUUGAAUGGGCUAGAAAUUCUCAAUGCAAUGAUAGAUAUUGAAAAUGAUUGGGGUAAAAAGAAAAAGGAUGUGAAUGUCAAUACUUGGGGGAAAAAGAGGAAGAAACAAGAUAGUUCAAAAGACGUACAAAAAUCUGUUCAACAGUGGAAGAAAAAGUCAAUCUUUUUCAAUUUACCAUAUUGGAGUGUAAGUUAUUUUGCACUCUAUUCAUUAGUUUUUGUCCACAAAUUGUUUUAAAUUUCCAUAACUAACAUUAUGAAACAUGUUAAUGGUUAGUUGUAGGGGCUCCUGUUACAUCAUAACUUAGAUGUGAUGUAUGUUGAAAAGAACGUUUGUGAGAAUAUCAUAGACACAUUAUUAAACCUAAAGAGAAAAAAAAAUCCAAAGAUGGUGUGAAUGCUCGCAAAGAUUUGAUGAACUUAAAUAUUAGAAAAGAAUUACAUCCUCAAGAAAAAGGAGAAAAUAAAUAUCACUUGCCUGCUGCACCAUACAUGUUGUCUACAAGAGAAAUGGAUGUAUUUUGCUCUAGGUUGAAGAAAAUAAAGUUACCCAAUGGCUAUAGCUCAAAUAUUGGUAACCGUAUUUCUUUAGAAGAGCGUAAGCUUAAUGGGCUGAAAUCUCAUGAUUGUCAUGUUCUAAUGCAACAAUUGCUAUCAGUAGCAUUGAGAAAUCUUCUACCGGAAGGCUCACAUAGUGCUAUAUUUCUGCUUGAUUCAUUUUCCAAUGAAUUAUGUGAAAGAGUGUUAGACAGGAAUCAUUUAGAAGCACUAGAGGAGAAUAUUGUUGAAACUCUAUGCAUGUUAGAAAGAUAUUUUCCACCUGCCUUCUUUACCAUCUCGAUUCAUUUGACAAUUCAUUUAGCAAGAGAGACUCGCUUGUGUGGGCCAGUCCAAUUCCGUUGGAUGUAUUCAUUUGAAAGGUAAUAAAUAAUAAUUUAAUUUUGCUAUCAAUGGUUGUUUCAUGUGAUUUUUUUAUGAUUUAGAUUUAUGAAAACACUAAAAGGGUAGGUGAAGAAUCGAGCAAGGCCAGAAGGUUGCAUAGCUGAGUGUUAUCUCGCAGAAGAACGAAUGAUAUUUUGUAGUGCUUAUAUAAACAAGGCUUCUAAUAUUGGUGUUCGUUCAAAUUGGAAUGAUAAUUUGGAAAAUGGAUUAGUGGAGGGUCGUCCAAUUUCUUAAGGAAAAGAAAAAAUUUUAGAAGAUGACAUGUUGCAAGUCGCACAUCAAUAUGUGUUGUUUAAUACUGCAGAAGUUGAACCUUACUUAGAGUGAGUGUAAUUAAUUGCAUACUAUAUUAGUCUUAAUGUAUUACAUAUCUUGUAUAUUCUAAUAUCUAUCUUCAAUGAUUUUCAAUAGGAUGCACAUUGAGGAGCUUAAACAAACAGAUCGUCGUUUCUUAAGUAAUGAAGCAUUGUUACAAAUGCAACAUAUGGAAACAUUUGCUAAAUGGCUAUCAAAACAUGUUCCUUUUAACUCUUCAGGCCGAAUUCAAUGGCUAGCAUAUGGUCCAAGAAAGCAUGUUAUAUCUUAUACGAGUUAUAUUAUAAAUGGACAUCGGUUCCACACAAUUGAUGUUGGAAGGUUGACACAAGAUAGUGGAGUUUCGAUUGAAGCCGACACUGUUUGUCAAUCUAAUGCUAAUGAUUAUUCACAUACAGUAGAAAGACUAUCAUACUAUGGAGUUAUACGAGACAUUGUUUUACUAGACUACUAUUCUUUCAAAGUGUCUAUUUUUAGGUGUGAUUGGGCCAAUCAUGGAAAUGGUAUUAAAAUGGAGGAUGGCUUUACACUCGUUAACUUACACCAAGGACUAAAAACUUUUGAAAAUGAUCCUUUCAUUUUAGCAUCACAAGCCAAGCAAGUAUUCUAUUCUAGGGACAAUGAUGAAUCAAAUUGGUAUGUGUUGCUAAAAGCACCGUCUCGGGGUAUUCAUAACAUGAAUGUGCUUGAAGCGGAUGCCUAUAUAUCAUCAAUUGAAAUUAACAUUACCGAGAAAGAACCAUAUGCAAGGAAUGAGUGUCAGGGAAUUGAUGUGACUGAGACAUGACUAAAAUUUUGAGAUGUAGAUUUUAUAGUUAUUUAUUUUAAUUGAUAAAUGUUCUUCUCAAGUUAUAUAACUCUAUAUUACUGUUGCAAUAUAUUUGUCUACAUAUUUACUUUGUUUGUUUAUAUUUAUUAUAUCAUAUUAUAUGUUUGAUCAAAUCAUUACAUAGCAUUCAAAAAGAUGAGCAAAAAGGGUAAAAAGCAUAGCUUAGCAUCUGAAGAUGAAAUUCAGGAAACUAUAGCUAAUAGGUUAUCGAGAAUGGACGCUAACAAUUCAUCACAUGAUUUGCAUGGUGAAGAAUAAAUUAAUGAUGACAAAACUCAAAAGAAAAAGGGAAGGGGUACGUCCAAACUGAAAAUGGUUAAUGGCCAAGAUAAGUGCAAAGAGCUGGAGCGUAAUGAGUUAGGACAACUGAUUGGAGAUAAUUCGGUGAAGUACGCUUCUUUUCUAGGGUGCAUGAUAAAGGAAUUUGUUCCAUAUACAUUGGAUGGAUGGAAUGAAAUAGGUGAAGAAGUAAAGGAUAGGAUGUGGAGUUGUCUUCAGCUGAGUUAUAAAGUUGAAGAUUGGGAAAAGAAAGUAAUUUUUCAAAAGUUAGCUAAAUUGCGGCGUGAUAAAAAAUCCAAAUUGCAAAUACUUGUACGAGAAGUUAAUACAGGUCGAGUGGCUUCACGAGAUCUCAAUCUUUCAAAGCCUGAAUUUUUGGAGCAAAAUCAAUGGGACUUAUUUGUGAAGAAGACACUAUCACCUACCUUUCAAGAAAAAACAAGUCUGUCAGAUAUAUAAAUUAAAAGAUCACAAGUUUGGAUUGAAGGUCACAAGAAAAAAAUGGGGAACCUAGUACUCAAGCAGUUGGAGGGAAAAUGAAAGAAAUACAAGAUGUCCGCCAGAAUCUCAAAAGACUACUAACAUUGUUGAUGAUGCAAUUAGCAUUGUGUUUGACAAGGAAACAAGGGGUAGAGUGCGUGGAUUGGGCUUUGGAGCUACACCAUCUAAAGUUGGAGCUUUUGUGCAACAAAAUCAAACUGUUAAACAACUUCAAGUUAUGAUACAUAACCUUCAACAAGAAAUGCAAGAAAUGAGACCCAUGCAACAAGAAAUACAAGAAAUGAAGUCCAUGUUUUUUGCAAAGUAUGAGGCAACAGAAUAAACAAGAACAGGUUUGUAAUUAAACAACAUACAUAAAAUAAGUU